AUUUAACAAAGACCCUCAUGAGGUGUUUGACUUCAUUAUCAAACUCAUCUCUCAAGCCAAACGUCGUGCAUCAGGGAUUAAUCUGGAAUCCAUUUACCAUUGCCUGAAUCGUACCAUCUUGUACCUCUUGUCUCGUCCUGCUGACUCCAUUGCUGCACAGAUGUCUAUACUUGAAGGCUUGCACAAACUUACCACCCACAGAAUUGUUGUGUUUGGUGCUGGAAACCAUGAACCUGAGUUUGUUGCCUGUCUCACCUACUGCUUGCUGCAGCUCAAGCUGAUAUUAAGAUCAACACUGAUACAACAAAUCGAUCUGUGUGGCAUGUAAACCCCAUAUUAGAGGGUGUGGAAGCUGUUGAAGGAAACAGUAAAAGUGGGAACACGAAUGGUAGCAAUACUGCAAAUAGUCAUAUACAGGACUUUGUAGAAGCCACUGCUACUCAGAGCCGCAACCUGAUGACAACAGCAGCAACUAGGGUCUGGGAAGAACUAUAUAUCACCAAAAAACCAGCAAUUGAGG